GCAGGCUACUAAAUUUCUCUUAAAAUAAAAAUUUUUUUUAGUUUUUUGUUAGUUACUAUUUAAUGGAAACAUACAUAUUUAUAUAGUAAAUUAAGAAAAUGUGUGGUCAAUAACAGGAGCAGUUAUAAUAAUUGGAUGAGUAUUUCAAAAGUUAUUAAUGUUUUUAUAGCUAGGCAGGAGAAGGAGUGAAAAUUAUGAAAUGUCUAAUAGUAAGAGUAGCAGUACAUAUCCAUUACCUUCAGUCAGUACUUUAAAUUGUUAAUUAACGUAGUUCAUGCGAUAUGGAACGGCUACAUUGUUCAAACUGUCUCAACGCAACUGGCGUCAUUCGACUUGUCACCUUUUAAUAGAUUUGGCUAGUAGUGGUCUUCCACCUACAACCAGGAAAUUGUUUGAAAAACAAAACUUAGAGAAGUUCUACGGGUGAAAAGUUUAAUAAAUUUCUUAAAAAAAUCGAAUUAAUAAUUUUACUAAUUUAAACUACAGACUAAAAUGAAAACUAUAUUAAAUCUAACUUGUAAAUUAUAGAGGUAGAGGAAAACCAAUUAUUUCUAAAACUAGAUUUUUAAUUUUAAUUAUCAUCAACAACCUAGUCAUAAUUAUAAAAAUAUAAUAAAAACAACAAGUAUAUAUAUAUAUAUUAAAGAGUC